GGGUAGUUAGCUCAGCUGGUAGAGCACCGCACUGAAAAUGCGGGGGUCGUUGGUUCAAGUCCGACACUACCCACCA
rnacentral:tRNA from 1 species